GAAAGCAUCUAAGCGGGAAGCCUCACCCAAGAUAAGAUCUCCCUAGACUUUUAAAGUCUCUAAAGGUCCGUCGAAGACUACGACGUUGAUAGGCAGGGUGUGGAAGCACAGCAAUGUGUGAAGCUAACCUGUACUAAUUAACCGUGAGGCUUGAUCAUAUAACACCCAA
rnacentral:rRNA from 1 species